rnacentral:rRNA from 1 species
UACAGAGGUCUCAAGCGUUGUUCGGAUUCAUUGGGGCGUAAAGGGUGCGUAGGCGGCGCGGUAAGUCGGGUGUGAAAUCUCGGAGCUUAACUCCGAAACUGCAUUCGAUACUGCCGUGCUUGAGGACUGGAGAGGAGACUGGAAUUUACGGUGUAGCGGUGAAAUGCGUAGAUAUCAGGAGGAACACCCGUAGCGAAGGCGGCACUCUGGGCCGGAACUGACGCUGAGGAGCGAAAGCGUGGGGAGCGAACAGG